UCCGACGCCAGACCAUAGAGAGGGGCGGCGCUGCCCCGGCACGGCUCUGCCAUAGAGCGGGAGGAGCGACCGCCCCCCACCGCCCCAGGCUCUCCAGCGGCUGCCAGACUACGACUCCCGUGAUGCCGCGGCGGCGCAGCUCGGGCUGACGGGAGUUGUGGUCCAAUAGCAGUCUGCCGCUGAGCCUGAAGCUGGCGGUGGCGAGCGGCAGCAACACAGCAGGCAGGCGUGCGGUGCGGGAGGAGGAGCGAGCCGAGCGGGACCCCGCCCUGGCACAGCGCCGCCGCGGGAAGGACGCUGCGCUGCGGCUGCGGGCUGGUUUGCAGCACAGUAUCGUUACCAUCUAAGGGAUCCCCAAGAGCCUCUUGAGCAUCCAACGGAAGCACAGCCAGGGUCCAAGCAAGCCAAGCUGUUCACAACCAUCCACCAUGCAGAUGCUCUGAGGAAGCUCCAAAGCAAGGCAAGGACGACCAGAACGCAAAAUGGAUGUUUUGGAGCAGGCCCUGACACACAAGCGCCUACAGAGCAAGACUCUUUCGCCCCUUGUAGUCCAACAACAUCCAGGGUUGCAAACCCCCUUAGAGAACACAGACCUCUGAAUACCAGGUCCUCAUUUGGUCUGUAUCAUACACAUGAAGCAAACUGGGAACCAGCUUCAGCCUUCUCAUCCUCAGUAUCCUGUACAGUCUCACUUUAUCAGAGCCAUUCUUCUAGUUCCCCUCUGCGUUCUCAAUACUCUCACCAGGCAAGAAGUAGGUCUCGCUAGGGUUGAACAGGGUUACUGGACCUGUAUUAUAAAGUUUUGGUUAAAACUGGUUUUUGCCCAUGUAAGCCUGGCUUCCUUGGUAAUGAUUGAUGGUUUUAAUCAUAAGUGGAAGACCUUGGUUAAAAAUAAACUACUUCAGUUUGGGUUCUCCCAUGAGGAAAUUCUCAGAUUUGGACAUGAUCAGGCCUGGCAGGUUAUUAAGCAGCGUAUUUUCGAUACAGAAUUACAAGUGGAUACAGCCUGUCUAAGGAGUGGAAUCUAUCUGGGGAAACAACUUCUUAAUUCCAGACCAGCAGCAUAUUUAGAGAACAUUCUUAUCCCUAAAUUUAGGUGCCCAUUUACUCUUGCCCGCCUAAACGCCCUUCCAACGGCUGUUAGAGAUGGUAGAUGGAUUUGCCCCUGUGGAGUGGGUGCCGUAGAAACUACCCCUCAUGUUAUUUUAUACCGUAAUUUUUAUAGUGCUACUACUUCAAAACUAAUUUCUCCUCUUUUGCAGAGUUUCCAGGUCACACUGAUGAAUUUUAUUUAGAGUUUUUGUUACUUUUGCAAAGAGACCACUUUCAAUGUGGCUAGGUCUUGCUACAUUGUUUGUAUGACACACUCAAGUCUUAUGUAACAUUUUUUGUUGUAUUGUCUGGUCUGUGAUUGUAAUAAAGUUUAUUCUAUUCCAAAGUA